UUACUGCUUUACAGCUGAAAUUAUGUCAAAACUGACCCAUAAAGGUUUUGCAUUCUCAGCACACUUGAGUGAACGAGACGCACCUUCUUCAGGACACUUUCGAGACCUGUUUGAACUCAGAGAUCCGUGAGGCACCAGCAGAAAGAUUGCUGACCCAAACCGUCACAGGCAACAGUUAAAGUCCGGAGCUGGACGAGGGACAGUCUGAGUGUUUCCAAACCUCUGCUGAGAGGAAAAGAUGUCCAUGAAGAUUUAGGGCCUGUCCCGAACGACGUCAAGCAUCACAUCAUUUAAGAGAGAGCUGCAGAUACUAGUGCAAAAUAUCAAUCAGAUUGACAGCAUCUUUAUCAAAACACUGGGACUUUAUGUAAAAAUACAGAUUUACACAGAAACUUGUCUUGUGUUUGAUUAUUCCUGACCACUUCUGACUAGAAACAUCUGACUCAAGAUCUAGAACAUAUACAUUCGACAAUAUCACAUUCAUACUGCAUUCAUAUUUUGUACAGAAUCUUCACAAUCAAGAAGACUUCUAUUUUGCAGCAUGCAGUGAUGUACUAAUUUGCUCAUUUUCAGUAUGCAUCGAAUACCCAGGUCACCUAAUACAGUAUAUCGACUAAAAUGUUGAAGUGUAUAGUAGAAAGACCUGACAUUUAUAGUUACAAAGUGCACACUAUUUAACAUUAUUCAAAUAACAAGCACUUAAAGUAUACACUCUUCAGUAUGCAUUAAGCAGUAUGCUAGCAUUCCAGUCCAAACACAUCUAGAGUCAGUGAUUCUUAACUUCAGAAUACUAAGAUUGAUCUGCUGGAGUGUCAAACACUGCACUGCAUUAGCUGCUUUAUUUAAUGCCUUCGGCCUGAUGUGUGUGUGUUCUCUGGUUCCAUCCUCUUUAUAAACACAGUCUAGUGACGAGUUAUGAUGGCUUUUACAUUUGAUUACUUUGUUGCAAUAUAAAACAUCAGAGAUGUGGGCGUGUCCUGAAACGCUGUACCUGUUUG